UACGUAGGGUGCAAGCGUUGUCCGGAAUUAUUGGGCGUAAAGAGCUCGUAGGCGGUCUGUCACGUCGGCUGUGAAAACCCGGGGCUCAACCCCGGGCCUGCAGUCGAUACGGGCAGACUAGAGUGCGGUAGGGGAGACUGGAAUUCCUGGUGUAGCGGUGAAAUGCGCAGAUAUCAGGAGGAACACCAGUGGCGAAGGCGGUUGCCUGGGGCUUUGCUGACGCUGAUGCGCGAAAGCGUGGGGAGCGAUCCGG
rnacentral:rRNA from 1 species